AAGGCGGAUUGGGCAAUCGCGGUGCUUCGUGCAUCGAGGAAGGUCCGGACUCCACAGGGCAGGAUAACGGUUAACGACCGUCCGGUGCGGUACACGUAAGUGUCCGCGCUGAGGACUAGGGCCACAGAGACGAGUCUGCAGCGGGGGUGUGUCGAAAGACGCACUCCGCCACGGUGUAGCCGUGGUGCAGAGUUCGCUUUGGCGAAUUCAACGUUGCAGGGUGAAACGCGGCAACCUCUAUCCGGAGCAACACCAAAUAGGCAUGCGUGUGGUUUCGACCACGACGGGCGGCUCGCCCAAGUAUGCGGGUAGGUGGCUAGAGCAUUUCAGCAAUGAAAUGCCCAGAGGAAUGAUUGCCAACCCAUGUAAAUGGGUUUACAGAAUCCGGCCUAUAGAUCCGUCUUGCAC
rnacentral:RNase_P_RNA from 1 species